rnacentral:rRNA from 1 species
UGGGGAAUAUUGGACAAUGGGCGCAAGCCUGAUCCAGCCAUGCCGCGUGGGUGAAGAAGGCCUUAGGGUUGUAAAGCCCUUUCGGCGGGGAAGAUGAUGACGGUACCCGCAGAAGAAGCCCCGGCUAACUCCGUGCCAGCAGCCGCGGUAAUACGGAGGGGGCUAGCGUUGUUCGGAAUUACUGGGCGUAAAGGGCGCGUAGGCGGUCUGUUGCGUUGGGCGUGAAAGCCCCGGGCUUAACCUGGGAUGUGCGCACAAUACCGACAGGCUAUGAGACCGGGAGAGGAGAGUGGAAUUCCCAGUGUAGAGGUGAAAUUCGUAGAUAUUGGGAAGAACACCGGUGGCGAAGGCGGCUCUCUGGCCCGGAUCUGACGCUGAGGCGCGAAAGCGUGGGGAGCAAACAGGAUUAGAUACCCCCGUAGUCC